CGCGUAGGCGGCGCGACAAGGCGGCGGUGAAAGUCCGGGGCUCAACCCCGGAUCGGCCGUGGCGACUGUCGCGCUGGAGCACAGUAGAGGCGGGUGGAAUUCCGGGUGUAGCGGUGGAAUGCGUAGAGAUCCGGAAGAACACCGGUGGCGAAGGCGGCCCGCUGGGCUGUGGCUGACGCUGAGGCGCGACAGCGUGGGGAGCAAACAGGAUUAGAUACCCUGGUAGUCCACGCCGUAAACGAUGGGCACUAGGUGCUUGGGGGAGCGACCCCCUGAGUGCCGGCGCUAACGCAUUAAGUGCCCCGCCUGGGGAGUACGGCCGCAAGGCUGAA
rnacentral:rRNA from 1 species